rnacentral:rRNA from 1 species
AUACGGAGGGUGCAAGCGUUAAUCGGAUUCAUUGGGUUUAAAGGGUCCGCAGGCGGGAAAAUAAGUCAGUGGUGAAAGCCUACAGCUCAACUGUAGAACUGCCAUUGAUACUGUUUUUCUUGAGUAUAGAUGAAGUGGGCGGAAUAUAUCAUGUUGCGGUGAAAUGCAUAGAUAUGAUAUAGAACACCGAUUGCGAAGGCAGCUCACUAAACUAUUACUGACGCUCAGGGACGAAAGCGUGGGGAGCGAACAGGAUUAGAAACCCUAGUAGUCC